rfam:Serratia sp. M24T3 contig011, whole genome shotgun sequence.
UAAAGUGUUAAGUCGUAAGGGCUGAGAACCUACAGCAGGUUCGAGCCGAGCGGAGCGAGACGACAACGCGUUAGCGUUGCCCGAAAGGUGAGGCCAUAGGCCGAAUCAAUCCCGCACGACCCACCA